rnacentral:lncRNA from 1 species
UUCCAUUGCUACUGACUGGAUGCCAGCUGUGAGCCAGGCACCACCCUAGCUCUGGGCAUGUGGUUGUAAUCUUGGAGCCUCAUGGAGCUCACAGGGAGUGCUGGCAAGGAGAUGGAUAAUGGACGGAUAACAAAUAAACAUUUAGUACAAUGUCCGGGAAUGGAAAGUUCUCGAAAGAAAAUUAAAGCUGAUGUCCAAAAAUGAUACUGACAUCCCAGGUCAGAAUGGUCGCCAGUUCCGAUCAAGACAGAGCCCCGUAUCUUCCAGGGACACUAGACAAGAUGCCAGGACCACGCCUCCGCUCUGCCCAGAGGCCAAAAGCAGCCCAACAAGGCAUGACUCGGUUCCAGAAAUACAAGCCAUAAGAUAGACCUCCAGACUCCUAGAGACGAUCUGAAGCUGCAGAAGCCCUCCACUGAAAGACCGGACCCACUGCCUACUCCUCCUGGCAGGUGCCCUGGACAAGGGCACAGACUUCACAGCGUUCAAGUGUGAAGGGAUUGUCCUUCUCCAGCCCUGGAUAUUAAAAGGUCUACCCCGAUGAGCCAUGGAGGGACUCUGAGUGUGUGUGUGUGUGUGUGUGUGUGUGUGUGUGUGUGUGUGUGUUGGAGGAGUUGCUUAUGGAAAAUAUUUUUCCUGCUCUUAAAAAGGGACUCCUGCCAGGCAUGGUGGCUCAUGCCUGUAAUCCAAGCAGUUUGGGAGGCCGAGGCAGGUGGAUCACCUGAGGUCAG